rnacentral:lncRNA from 1 species
GAAUGAUUUUCUUAAUGAACUCAAAGCCUUGGAAAUAUCCCCACACGGUAUCUCCCGGAAUCCAUUGAUCCUGCGGCCCGGAAAGCAGCCAACGACCGCAUCUGAUCAUUCACCGCUGCUCCGGGUCUUUACUGCUGUCUAACCUAACGCAGCAGCCAGCCUCCGCAGCCAAUCAUUAUCAAACACGUCACAGCCUUCUAACCUACCCACC